CUGGGCUACCAGAGGGUUAACUGCCAGCUGGAGAAACACCAGCUCAGAGUCCCUGGGAGACCAGCCCCACCUGCAUCCCCUUGAGUCUAUGCUGAUUAUUCUCUGCUUCUUCCUUCUCUGCUCUGUGCCCUGGGAGCCUGGCUUUGAGGAAUGCAUCUUUUUGGCCCUGUCCACCCUCUGCCUUCUGGGAGCAUUUGGCCAGUGGGAGGUACCAGCAAGAGCCUGGAGGGCAAGAGGAGAGAGAAAUUGGGGUACUCCUUCUCGAAUUGCUCUUUGCUUUGUUGAGAUGUCUCUAAAAGUUGCUGUUUCCUCUUUGAAGACAGUUCCACCAGGCUGCCCCGUCUCCAAGUUUCCGAGUGCAAAAUGAACUCAGGUGGAGGUGGGGAAUGUGAUGGACAUGCAGGUUCAAUGACCUGCUUAGGGGCCCCCCCGAAUGUCAAGGCCAAGGUGCUUCAAGGCCUGCGAUGGAGACGCAGCAUGGGCAGAGAUGGGAGCUAGAGGAAGAAGGAGGACAGAGUCAGAGAGUUGGAUUGUGAGACCAAGAGACAGGCUUUCCAGUGUUCAGGGAAACACUGGCAACAUGGCUCUAUCUUUCUCUGAGGGGUCCCCAUUCUAAAAGAGAUAAAACAGCCACCACAGUCAACUUUGUAGCAGCUGAAUGACGUAAGCGGAGGAGCCCUGGUUCUAGAGUCACAGGCAAGUGGAGAGUAAGGGUGCGAAGUUACCUGCUUUUACAAAGGAUUUCUGGAGGCAUUGGACAUUCAUAUCAUGUUUGACUGGGAAACUCAGAAGUCUUCCUCUGCCAUUACUGAUGAAGAUGCCAUAAUUUCACCUAAGUCAAGAUGCUAAGUGACUUGUCCAAGGUCACAUGACUAUUAAGAGAAAGAAUAAGACUUGUACCUACGAAACCUGACUUUGAAGCAUAUCUCCAGUCACUACCCAGGCUACCACGUGCAUUCCCAGAAUCUAGAAAAUCCUCAUGAGGUUGGAAUGGUCCAGUUUGGUGACUGCUAAGCCAGGUUUUGGUGACCCUGCUGGCAAUUCUGCCUUCCUACUGUUGCAAGCGGGUGAGGCUGGAGCAGACAGCAUGUUCAGGAACACCUUAAUGAUGUCAGGAUGCUUUUCAUUGCUCAUUUAUCACUUAACAGCUCAGAUUUGUAAUGUGCUACCCGCGUUCUCCCUUUAGCACGGACAAUGCAUUCUUUCAACAGUGUGUGGCUCUGUGGGAAGAGCUGUGCUGAAAGCAAAACACUGGUGUGUGCAGCCUGCCCCUUUGGGGAGGAGGGGCACGUGAGGGGCAGGUGGGGACCAGAUGCCUGGCUGGAGUCGAGUGAGGGGAUGAGCACAUGGAACAGCCACUUCUGGUUCCACUUACUCAUUUUCUCUGUGCUGAAAGGUGUCAUAUAAAUGCUAAAUAGAACAGAGAGAGAUGGGGCCUAUCUAUUUGCAUUUCAUCUAAUGUGAGCAGAUGCAGAUAGAAAAGCAGCUUAGCCACGGCUGUUCACCUGCCCCUGUAGGUCUAAACGUCUUCAGUUCAUUUCAAUGCUGUCCCUGUCAGUUCCGCUCCAGUGCUGCAGCAGACAUGGUAUGGGGUACAAAAGGGGCACAUGCCCUCCGUCCUCGGUGGGUCUACAAAACUUGUUGGAGAGACGAGUUUAACCACAGGAACCAUCUGAGGACAAUACAACCCAGCAUCUGGUUAAAUGGGAGAAGAUCUGCAGAUUCCAUAGAGCUGGCAUGGAGCUGGAUAUCUUUCAGGAGGUAGAGUUUGCAUUAAAACACAUAACCACAACAAAGCAAGAGAAAGAGAGCAAUUGAUAAAGCAGAGAUGGAGGCAGGCAUUCCAUCAGCCACACUGGAGCCUGCAGUGACCUUGGAGAUGUAUCCAUGUGCUGAAGAUGAUGGAGAAGAAAGAGAACAUGUGGCUGAUGUCCUGCUAACUAUGUAUCUGUCAUGACCUCCUUGGGCUGCCAUGCAAGGAAGGCCUCUUUGGAAAGUGGAAAAAUAAACUUAUAUGUCAUUAAGUCACUUA